GACGAACGCUGGCGGCGUGCUUAACACAUGCAAGUCGAACGGUGAAGGGACUGGUUUUGCUGGUCCUGGAUGUGUGGCGAACGGGUGAGUAACACGUGAGUAACCUGCCCCCUUCUUCUGGAUAACCGCAUGAAAGUGUGGCUAAUACGGGAUAUUCUGGGUCUGUCGCAUGGUGGGCCUGGGAAAGAUUGCGCCUUUUUUGGUGUUUUUGGUGGGGGAUGGGCCCGCGGCCUAUCAGCUUGUUGGUGGGGUGAUGGCCUACCAAGGCGGUGACGGGUAGCCGGCCUGGGAGGGUGGACGGUCACACUGGGACUGAGACACGGCCCAGACUCCUACGGGAGGCAGCAGUGGGGAAUAAUGCACAAUGGGCGCAAGCCUGAUGCAGCGACGCCGCGUGAGGGAUGGAGGCCUUCGGGUUGUGAACCUCUUUCGCCAGUGAAGCAGGCCUGCCUCUUUUUGUGGGUGGAUUGACGGUAGCUGGAUAAGAAGCGCCGGCUAACUACGUG
rnacentral:rRNA from 1 species